GGGAGAGGAUACUACCGGCAGGGGUCAACCUCUCCGAGACCCCUUGCCGCUGGUUCUUUUCCAGCCGGCAGGAUGUGCGCGCACGCGGUUGAUAUCCUUUGACCUUACCGGUACCUGGAAACCAGAAUUUCGAUUCAAUUUUUGUCCCUCUCUUCCCAACUUUUCUUUUACUACGUGACAAAAUUUCCACCGAUCUAAUCGACCGUCUCCUGAAUUUAUCCAGUCUCUUUGAUCAUGCAAUUUGUAUUCAUAUUUAUAUCGUACAUAUUAUUUAAUCAUUAUCCAGUAAUCCUAUUAAAUUUUGACGCUAUCCUUAAUUUACACGUAUUGCUCUUUAUACUGCAGUUCAUUAGUGACUUGGACUUUGAUACACAGUCUCCUGUUUUUAAUUUUAAGAUGCUCACUCGUACAUACGUCUGCAUAUUCAUUUUAAAAGUCUCUCACAUAAAGUUUUACAGGACAGAAGCUUAUUCUUCACGUUGCCUGAUAAGUAUUUAAUUGCCAUAUACAUUCACAUUUUAUAUUCACAAGUAUCACGUUAUCUUUUAUAAGUAAAUAAAAUCACAAUUUUAAUUAGAAGUAUAAUACAAAUUAUACUUUCGAACGUCGGGGAAUUCGUUCGGAAAUGAAUUCCAUUUCACACGUACGCUCUCCGCUCUGUUCAGAGUCGUUGAAAAUUGUUAAUCGCGUACGUACGUACAUACAAGUACAGUAAUUCGCGGCUGGCGCGCGGUGUCCCAUGCGGUGUAUAAUUUAGAUUAUUUUUAAGCAUUCCGUUUUUUUUUUUACUGGUGCGCCACGCAGACGCGGCGUGCAUGGCACACUGUCAUGGAGAUUACUGUUGCAAGAGGUCAAGUAUAGCGGAUGCUCGAGGAUUUUUCGCGGAGGGGGAUGCGUGUACGCGGGGCAUGCAGGUGAUAUCCUUUGACCUUACCGGUACCCGAACAGGCUCUAAUGCGGGCUUCGCUCGGUUCGGCUUCGAACCUCGUCGCGGAUACGUUUUAGCGUUUUCUAACCGCGUGCUUACGUACUAAACCCGUUGUUUUUGCACACCAAUUUCAGCUCUCUUAUACUCGUUGCAUAACACUUUUCUUCGUUUACUCUCCUAUCUAGCCGCAUUUUUUUAUCAUCGUGUGUAGAGUUUAUUGUCGCCUAACGUUUAAUGAAUAACUUCCAUAAAAGAAGAGAUGGCUCACGUGAAUAACGGGACUUAUCCUUGAACUAGUACCGUCGGUAUUGUAACGAAUCAGUUGGGAGCGAGAUAACAGGAAACGUUUUAAUAAAUCGUACCUCGAUCUGGUGUAACAACUGUUCUUAUCUCAUACACGCGUUACUAUACCACCCGAGGGUACCACCUGUUUUCUCAUUAUCUGCCACAUAAAUCAACAAAUGAUCGACUUAAAUAAGCUCCAUUCAUCAACCAAUUUAAAGAAUAACAAUUGAAUAGUCAUUAUAAUUUCAAUUCAAAAGCAAUGAGAACUCGCUCACCAUUCUUUUAAUGUCAAGAAACGAUAGAGUUAAAGAUUAGAAGAAAAUGUAUAAUGAAUUUUGAUAAAGGAAAUCGAUACGAAGUUCUAAUAACGAUCAUUAAAUGAAAUCAGUGCAGAUUAAUGCAAUAUCUCGAUCACGUUGUGUCAUUAAACUUGAGAGAUCAUCGUCUAAUUACUGAAUCCAUGGGCGAAGGGGACCGAGAUGGUAAGAUGUAAGGAACAGAUCCUGAAGAUGGAGGACGAAAUGUUGCAAAGAGAUAGGAUGCAGCGUGGCAAAAGCAAGGUACGGGACGGUACGGCGCGGUACGUUCACCAAUGACCGAGUGGCACGGAUCUUCUUCCAUCCUUUCCUCUCUUCUCUCAUCUCCGCGUCGUCGUGCAAACAUUCUCCGUAAGUAAGUACACACGAGGGGGCGAAGAGGAGUGCUAGAACAGAAUACAGCCGCGCGCGUGCAUGUGUGCGGCGCACUUAUCGUUAGAUCCACCGCGAACCUAUCCCCGUCCGAAUGCAACGCUUGAAUAUUUUCAGCGGCUCUCUUUGCCGGUAGAUAUUAAUAGUGUGCAGUUACUUCACGAGCUUGAUAUCAGUAGACUUGUUCACCGCGUGAACGAUUUUCACAGAGCCAGCCGGGAAACAUCGACGUUUUGUACGUUCUUGGCCAGAGACCGAAGCAAGACAACUUAUUUCUUGCUUACAAGGCUUUUUUUUCAUACUCUUUGCCUUUGAAUAAUGACGAAUCAAGUGAAUAUUCUAUGUAAAAUAAUUGUUAACCUUCUACAAAGUGUACGUGAAUAUCUUGUUGAAAGUAAUUUUUCAAAUGAGUCAUUCCACGUCAGUGGAGGAGAUCAAUGUCGAUCCCUUCGCAUUGGGAUUUAACGUCACCGCGGAGGAAAAGGGAAAAAAGGCGAGCGUAAAGAGUAAAACGGUUGCGCGAAUGGAAUCGUGGCGAGAGGAGGCAGGCGAGGGCAGACGCAAAAGGAAAGGCGCACCGUUGCACUUGUGCCGUCGCGGAGCAAGAAGCGCGGGGUUUCUCUCCUCUCCAGCCGCGAUUCCUGCCCGGUGCGGUGCAUUCUAAUCGGCCGACUAUAAUUAAGCUCGCGAACCUCGUAUUGGCGCCACGUGAGUAUUCCCGCCGGUACGUGCCGGCAGACCAGUAUUUAUUGCGUUUCCCUCUCUCCUUCUUUAAUUAUCUAUCCAAUGCGCGAUAAUCAAAGGGUCGCAUCAAUUAACGCGAACACGGUGUACGACGUGUGUUUAUCUUUUUCUAUACGCGUCGUGUGUGUCGCAAUAGGGCUAAUUAAUAACAGAUCUUCAAGAUACAAAUUCCAAGCAAAUCAACUUCAUGAUUUAUUGACUACAUUUUUUAUACGAAUCCUUCGAUUUGCAGCGCAUAUGGUAAAAAAGCAAAAUCAUACUUUAAGAAACAAUAUAUUAUACGUGUAAUACGUGUGUACGUUUGGUAGAAGGGAUGAAAUAAAAAAACUGACAUGAACCGAUGAAUGGUAGCAGUAAAUGGCUUUCGCGAGGUAGCUGGGGUUAUUGAGGUCGAAUUGACGCGGCGCGACGUUUAGAAAUAGGAACGAUUCACGCGCGUAUGUGUAAAGAGAGGGUGGCUUGUAUACUAUUAACGGUGCAUUAAGCUUCUUUCAGACGGCUUGGACGAAUUUCCUGAAGAUGAAACGUGUUGUCAUUUACAUUUCGUAAACAAAAAAUACGAUUUCUUUUUUUAACCAGUCGAUAUAUUUGAGAUAUUCAAAACUCUCAAGAUCGUCAAGACUUUCAAGAGUUCAAAGCUUCGGAUUAUAUUCGAAAUGGUACAAACUUUUUGUCGCACGAUAGAUUCGAAGCGAUUCGACGUAAUCCCAUGGCUAACUGUCGAUUCUCGUUUAUACGAAGAGAAUUUCGCGAAGGAUAAAAUACCAAAUCCCACCUUACACACCGUUGCAACCCGGCAUUAUCAGGAGAGGAAAAAAGGAUAAUGGCGCAACAACCGCGCCCAGAUUCCAUCAUCUGGGGGCCAACAACAAAAUCCCGAGGCUCCCGCGGAUGUCGAACCGUCGAAAAGCAGAGUGGGUGUACAUAAUAUAACGUAAUAGGCCAGCUCGUUUUCUGAAAAGAACCGACGGGGAAUCAUACCUACACAGCUCCUGCUCGGUUUAUCGACGAUAAUGAGCCGGAUCGAUUCGUACGCGUACCUACAUCGCUGGAUAAAAGGCGAGCGCAUAGUUGAAUCGUGGGAAUCGAUCGGAUUACAUCCGCCCAAUUAAUUUUUUUCGCCGGAACACCGCACUGCCCUUCCUCGCGUCCAUCGCGUCGCGUCGCGUCCCAGGAUGCUCGAGCCGUCCUCCUCCUCCUACCUCGGACAGGUCUCGUUUGACUCGGUGCACCGAGGUGCAACGUUGCGAUCGCACCUGGAAAGGGAACCGGCCGGAAGCGGUCUCUGAUGUUUUUGGCCAGUUCAACAGAGAUUUUGCCCAUCGCGGUUCGCCUGAUUUUUAGGUGACAGUGCCUCGUCCACAGUUAUCAUUCUCUUCCUACACGUUUCCACGUGUAUAGAGGCAUAUUCAAAUAAUUAUUAUGACAUCUUACACAAUUUCAAGAAAACACCGUUCGCAUUUAUUUUUUUGAUUCAUUAUUAUACCGACUUUAUAAUACUGUAAAACUAGAAUUUGUAAUAUAAAACAAAGAAUCCAUUUAUUGGCAGAAAUGUUCGAAAAUACAUAUCAAUAUUUUUUAAGAAUGCAAGGAAUUGUAAUCCAGAUUUCAUUUUUGAAAUCGAUAUCAUAAAUGUUUUAUUUUGCAUAAGAUUAAUAAGAUCUGCAGUCUAGUUAUAGACGAUAGUAUUGUAAUCGUUGGUGGAAGGGGCGGAUCAGGCUCAGAAAAAGGAGAGUGGAAGAUAGGACGAGGAGGGAGAAGGAAGAAGAUCCUUAACGCCGUCUCACGUGGCUGUAAACUCCUGCACGCUGUACACCGAACCGGAGGGCAAGUGAAAGUCUCUCGAAAGACGAUGUCGAUGAGUACACGUUACUCACACGUUCCUCUGCUUAUACGUACUUACGUACAUGCGGCUGAGGAAUAAUACAUAUAGCUAUCCGUACUUGUACCUUUUAACUGUAUGGACUCCGACGCGUCUCUCCUCACUGCAUCUGUGAGGAAACCGUUCUUCCAUCGCGCAUCUCAUUCCAUAUUGGUUCUCGAUAAACCUGAAACGGCACAGCAUAUUUUAGAGGCGUGGAGUAUAUCAUUUCCCAUUCAUAGCACGACGUUCACAUAAAAUGGUCAUAAAUAUUGACGAAUGGAAGACAAUUUCUCGAUCCGUCGGGUCCGAUGAUCGUCGACGGUCAGACUGUAGGCGCCAAAUUUGUCGAGCUGAGAAACCAGCGCGACGUCUAAUCGACGGUAGCUUCGAAACCGUCGGAGCGUUCAAUCGAAUCUGUCUGAUCGAUUGCGGCAGAUUUCACCGGGGGCACCGCCGAAUCUCUUCCGAUUCGAUUCAACGCAGCUUUCGUCUGGUUGCCUCUUUUCUACAGCCAACCACAGAGACAUGCAUGUAUAGGUUGGGACAAUGAUUUCUGACCAGCUCUGACUUUGUAUGUUAUUAUUAAUUAAGCUAAUAAGCGAAUAAAGAAUAAAUAAGUACAUAA